rnacentral:lncRNA from 1 species
CUACUUAAGGAAUAAUUAACAUUACUUCAUUUGUACACACUAAUAGGGUAUUUAAACUAAUAACAGGUUAAGAAAAUAUCAAAUGGUGCUAUGAUCUGUGCGUCUCUUUAAAAUAUACUGAUCUAGUCCUGAUUCCAGAUCAUUUUUUAGUUUCAUUUGAUUGCUUUAGUAAUUGUUAGUGAAUUUAAUAAUGUGAUAAUUUAAAUUGUUUAUUUUUAUAUGUUAAAUAGAUAGUAUUAUUGUUAAAAUUUUGUAAAAGCAUUUCAUUUACCG